GCUAUAAUAUAGCCCAAUGACUACGUAGCAAUUUAUUAUAAUUUCUACUGUGGUACUCAACCAAUCACAAUAGAAAAAUCAGCGAAUUGCAUUAUAUGACAGAAGAAAAUGUUACUUGCCUAAUUCUAUUUGAUUCUUAGAAAAAAAAAAUACAUUUUUGAUGUUACCCUUUGCCCCCUUGACACCCGCGCUUCAGUGGUUUCGUUAUCGCGUAGUGCUGCGCAGUUGGUUUAUCCGGCUCGCGAAACUCGCAGAAACUGUUCUUUUAUUCUAUGCUGCAAACAGCAGAGAAUGCCACGUCCAUGUGAUGUCGCGGGAUGUCCAAACGGUCCAAGGAAUGGCCCAGGCCGCUUGGUCAAGAGCAGUUGCAGCGGCGAAUCCAAUGUGACUUACCACAGUGUGCCAAGAAGUGAACCUCUGCGUUCGAAGUGGCUAAGUGCCGUCCCUCUGCGACAGUGGGAUGGUAAAAAGCCGAAAAAUUUCGUAGUAUGCUCGCUGCACUUUCGUCCAGAGGAUUACGAAUGCAAUGGUAACGUGAGCAAGUCGUGUGGAGUGCCUUUCCGAGCACUGCUUUCCCGUCGCGCUGUUCCGUCGGUCGUGCCCGAAAUACAAGAACCGUUACAGGAUGAUAAAGCUGCGGCUGAACUUGCCGAAAUGGAAACCAGCGAUUCGAUGACCGACACCUCCAACCAGAGCGACGUGACCGAGGCGACCCGGGACGUGGGGACACAGGCAAGCCUUUCGUCGAGUACUACUGCCGAGAAAAGUGGAAGUAGCUUUCGAUAUGCUAAAUAUGCGCAAGUUCGUCUGCGCGGCACUAGCAUUGGAGUUCAAGUUAACACAACAAUGAAGAAAACAAAGGAAAAGGGAACGCAGGUUUUAUAGGAGAAGGAAGCACGUGAUGUCAGCUCUGGUCAAGAUGCAUUGUAGUGCAAAGAGCUGAAGGAGCCAAGCAACGGGGACAGACAUCUAGAGAGGAGGCCAGCUUUCUCAUCUCGCAUAAUACCCUGCUGGUAGCAUGCAAAGAUGACAGGCAUGACAGGAGGCAUGAGCCAUACAACUAGACUCGUACCUUGAGUGCAACAUUUGCUGAUCAGUUUGGAAUGUGCAUCAGGCAUCACUGCUGACACGGGUCACUGAUACAACCCUGCAGCUUUAUGGAGAUGGUCACUGUGAUGCGGCAGGUCACAGUGCUAAAAUCCUCACACACGGAGCAAGUUCAAGUCAAGGAGCAUCCUUUCUUCAUUUCAGGCUCAUGGCUCCAGAACAAAGACAGCAUGCUGCUAAACUUGCUGGUGAAUGGAGAAGACGCCUGCCAUGGAUACCUGUGCUAAACCUUGCGCUAUGUCAAGAGGUGCCCACCGUCGUCUCCACAUCCUGCUCCUCUCCUGCUUGAAGAGCCAAUCUCAACGCUGCAGGACCUGAACCAGCUGGAUGUCGAGGUCAAUGCCCCAAUCCAGGACUUGCUCAGUGCUCUAGGCCAGUCGGUUCAAGCCAGUGGCCCACACACCCAGCUCUCUCCCCUUUCCCUCCUUCUGUCCACCUUCCUUUCUGUCCAGGCACGGAUAGAAGGGGGUUGUCUAUAAGGUGGGGGGGGGUGUUGUUUAUGAUAAUGAUGGUCUUUAAUUUUGCAAAAAACUUGCACAAUUGACACAGCUUAUCGAAGUGAGGAAAAUAAUGAUUUUUUUUUUCUUAUUCGCUAGUAUAGUCUCAAACAAAUUCAGUAAUUGUCAGUCUCCAACAAUUCAGCUGUACCUUCUAAUAGCAACAAUUCUGAAUGGCUAGUUAGUCCACAAUUCGGAAGAAAGAGGUGGGGGGGGGGGGGGGAGUCGCUGUAGAUCAACCAGCUCUCGAUACCUGUUGGAUUUCAGAGAACCAAGCCACUUAUUCAAUAAUGUUUUUCUCUCGUGUAGCCGGUACCUGCCGGUCACACACCUUGUGAGGGGAUGUGCAUGGCUGUAGUGCAGGCUCAUGUCAGAUAUCUACUAAUGCACCUGGGAGGUGGGAACAGCUAAGGGAAGUUGUGUGCCCACUUUAAAAAAAUGCAACACUGGCCCAUGAACAAAGCUUGGGCCUACAAAUGACCUGCAAAUUCCUAGAACCUCAUUCUAUUUACAUUAAUCGGCUCAAUGGCCGAUUGCAUGUGCUCAUAAACUGCGCCUGCUUAGGAGGCGAUAUACCUCUGUGUAAGUUGGGUGAAUAGUCACUGUAAUAAAUACUGUUGGUUAUUGUCA